rnacentral:rRNA from 1 species
GGGGGAUAUUGCGCAAUGGGGGCAACCCUGACGCAGCAACGCCGCGUGAAGGAUGAAGGUUUUCGGAUUGUAAACUUCUUUUAUUAAGGACGAAACUUGACGGUACUUAAUGAAUAAGCUCCGGCUAACUACGUGCCAGCAGCCGCGGUAAUACGUAGGGAGCAAGCGUUGUCCGGAUUUACUGGGUGUAAAGGGUGCGUAGGCGGCUUUGCAAGUCAGAUGUGAAAUCUAUGGGCUCAACCCAUAAACUGCAUUUGAAACUGUAGAGCUUGAGUGAAGUAGAGGCAGGCGGAAUUCCCCGUGUAGCGGUGAAAUGCGUAGAGAUGGGGAGGAACACCAGUGGCGAAGGCGGCCUGCUGGGCUUUAACUGACGCUGAGGCACGAAAGCGUGGGUAGCAAACAGGAUUAGAUACCCUGGUAGUCCACGCUGUAAACGAUGAUUACUAGGUGUGGGGGGUCUGACCCCUUCCGUGCCGGAGUUAACACAAUAAGUAAUCCACCUGGGGAGUACGGCCGCAAGGUUGAAACUCAAAGGAAUUGACGGGGGCCCGCACAAGCAGUGGAGUAUGUGGUUUAAUUCGAAGCAACGCGAAGAACCUUACCAGGUCUUGACAUCCAACUAACGAAGUAGAGAUACAUUAGGUGCCCUUCGGGGAAAGUUGAGACAGGUGGUGCAUGGUUGUCGUCAGCUCGUGUCGUGAGAUGUUGGGUUAAGUCCCGCAACGAGCGCAACCCUUGCUAUUAGUUGCUACGCAAGAGCACUCUAAUAGGACUGCCGUUGACAAAACGGAGGAAGGUGGGGACGACGUCAAAUCAUCAUGCCCCUUAUGACCUGGGCUACACACGUACUACAAUGGAUGUUAACAGAGGGAAGCAAGACAGCGAUGUGGAGCAAACCCCUAAAAACAUUCUCAGUUCAGAUUGCAGGCCGCAACCCGCCUGCAUGAAGAUGGAAUUGCUAGUAAUCGCGGAUCAGCAUGCCGCGGUGAAUACGUUCCCG